rnacentral:lncRNA from 1 species
UCCAGCAGUCAAAGUUUAAUGAACCAAAAUAAGACAAACUGCAGUCAGUGUUUAGACGAACAUUCAUUUGAUCAAUCUGUAAAUAUCCGAGGAUCCUUUCACCUCCUCCUAAAGACUUGUUUUCUCUCUGUGUGUGCAGAUAUUGGCAGAAACUCAACCCUGAUUCAUGUCUCACACUCAUUAUUGAUCACCUGUUAAUCAUACUAAUGCACCGCUGCAUGCGCAUGGAGUUAGAAACACUGAGCGUGCAUCCAGCAGAGAGUGCAUGUAGUUCCUGCAGAGGUUGAAGGAGGGCAGAGCGUCAGAGAUCCAGCCUGAUCCACAAAGACAUGACCUGUGCAGGUGAAGAGACUGGAGGAUAAGAGAGCAGAGAAAAACACAACCAUGAUGAUUUGACUCGUGUUUUCUCACCUUCUCUAAAGUGACCCAGAGCGUCACCGAUUCAUGAGUUUGAAAGCAUGUGGUCGUAUCGUAGCGGAUCACAGAAACAGUCGUAUUUACAGACACCAAACCGAGAAAAUGAAGACAAACAAGUUGGAAAAUCUUCAAACUUUAGAGACGGAGCUGUGUGAUAACAGAGAAAUAUGGAAGUCAAACUGUGCCAUCUGAUCUUCAAUUUGAAUUUAUAAAACUGAAUUUCUUUUGCAUCUAAAUCAGACUUUGAAUUUGGAAACUAUUGAAUUUCAAACACACAUUUUUAUUUCUGACACUAAUUUUUUUUACAAUGAUGAAAUAAAUUCAGUGUAAAAAAAUCAGUCUGUUUAGUAAAAAUUCAACUUAAACAAACUGUAAAUAAAAAAUAUUCAAUGUCAAAAUAUUCAACUUAAAAAAAAAUUCAAUGUAAAAAAAUUGAGUGUAAAAUAGACCGACACAACAUCCGGGUAACCAGGGAGAAGCAAUCGAUUCCCGGUUCAAUCAUCCACCAUCCAGCCAAUCAAUGAAUGCUAGAUUGGUCAUGUGACCCCAGAGGAAGAUUGAAGAAUCGAUUGCUUCUCCCUAAUUACCCGGAUGUUGAGUCGGUCUAUUUUACACUAAAUUUUUUUACAUUGAAUUUUUUUUUAAGUUGAAUAUUUUGACAUUGAAUAUUUUUUAUUUACACAGUUUUUAUAAGUUGAAUUUUUACUAAACAGACUGUUUUUUUUACACUUAAUUUAUUUCAUCAUUGUGAAAAAAAUUAGUAUCAGAAAUAAAAAAUGUGUGUUUGAAAUUGAAUAGUUUAGAAAUCCAAAGUCUGAUUUUGAUGUAAAAAAAUUCAGCUUUAGAAAUUCAAAUUCAAAAUCAGAUGGCACAGUUUGACUUCCAUAGAGAAACACUUUCAGAAACCCCUGCAGCAUCAGGACAACCCUGUGGGUGAAUCUCACACACUCCUCACAGGAAAGGUUCCCUCUCUGGUCCCAGGACACAGGAUCAAAUAAAUCUUUACAGACUUGUUUUUUUUUUUUGUUGCCCCGGAGGUUGACCGAAACCUCUGACUCUUCAUGAUUGUCAAUUUGGAGAACAGAGUGAGAGUUUCUCCAUCACUGACCAUCUAAAUAACCAUGAACGCCUCACACGGCGCUCCAAAAUAAGAUGUCGAACCUGAAUCUCCUUUUUUCUGUCUCUGAUCUGAAGCAUCUGAACUUUCAGCUGUUGGGGAUCCAGUCCUGAAGAAAUCAUCUGAGCUGAGCGAGCAAACGGCGUCCCCUCUUAUUCAUCCAAACAUCCGCGUGACGGUGGGCGGGACGUUUCUGACCUUGGUGAGGUGAGAGGAGAAGUCAGGCGUGGAUUCAUGAAGCUGUGUCUUCUUCAGGAGCCAGAGGUAAAAAAACUCCAAAAUUAUAAUUAUCAUCAUCAUCAUCAUCAUCAUCAUCAUCAUGAUUUUUCUUACUGCAGGUUAUCAGGAGACUUUAGAGCUUUUGGUUUUUGAUCUUUGGCUGAAAUUUUAGAUCGUCACUCAAACUGAAAACCAGAGAAAAGAAGCACAAAAAAAAAAAAACAAGAACAGGUCUGCAGCAGAAAAGGUGGAUGAUGGAGGGUUGAUCUCAGUUCCUGCAGGAGUUCCUUCAGUUUGCAGCACACAGUCAAAAUACAGUCAUUGUUGAUUUUACAGCUGCAGGGGUUCAAGGUGAGAUCCAGAUAAACCCGAGUUCCUCUUCUUCUCAGCGUGCUCUGAUCAAAUAUGGCUCCACACGCAGCAGCAGGAGGUUUUAUUGCUUUAAUCGACUGAAUUUGGGACUAAAACCCUUUCAGAG